rnacentral:rRNA from 1 species
AUUGAACGCUGGCGGCAGGCCUAACACAUGCAAGUCGAACGAGUGGCGGACGGGUGUGUAAUGUCUGGGCAACUGCCUGAUGGAGGGGGAUAACUACUGGAAACGGUAGCUACUACCGCAUACCAUCGGCUUUGCUCAGAUGGGAUUAGCUACUAGGUGGGGUAAAGGCUCACCUAGGCGACGAUCCCUAGCUGGUCUGCGAGGAUGACCAGCCACACUGGAACUGAGACACGGUCCAGACUCCUACGGGAGGCAGCAGUAGGGAAUAGUGCGCAAUGGGCGAAAGCCUGAUGGAGCCAUGCCGCGUGUAUGAAGAAGGCCUUCGGGUUGUAAAGUACUUUCAGCGGGGAGGCGUUACCCACAGAGGAAGCACCGGCUAACUCCGUGCCAGCAGCCGCGGUAAUUC